AUGCCCUGCCUAUCUCUCUUCUGCCAAAGCCUAAAGUUGCUCUCACCUCAGUAGCUCUAGUUCCCAGCCACCAGCCUCCUCCUACCAUCAGUGGAGAUAAAAUCAUGUCAUCUCACAGCACUUAAUUCUGUUCCUAGAGUGUACCUAAUGAGUGUCCUGUUUGACCAGACUCCUCCAUUACCAGUGUUGGUUUCAGCUGUCUGGACUGAAGACUUUGCCUGUUUAAAAUGUUUUGGAAUCCAUCCACUUUGGCUUUUCUCUGGAUUUUUCAUGGCAUUGAAAAAUGCAGUUGGACAUUUAUCCCACUUAUUGGAGCCCUCAAUUUUAUUUCCAUCUGGAAUCACACACCAAUACUUGUGGGGCAAUUAACUUGGCUGAGGAAACUAUUAUGGAACUGGUCCUUUGAACUUACUGAAUGUCUACUUAAUAGGGCCACGAAGACCAGCAGGAUAUGA
rnacentral:lncRNA from 1 species